GGCCAUUCAAUAGUUGUCUAGUACUUGAAAUUGCAAAAUGUAAAUGCCAAUGCAAAUGCAAACCUUGACACGGAAAUUCUCAUAGAUAGGAUGACGAGCAGAGGC